rnacentral:snRNA from 1 species
GUGCUGGCUUCGGCAGCAUAUAUACUAAAAUUGGAAUGAUACAGACAAGAUUAGCAUGGCUCCUGCGCAAGGAUGACAUGCAACUUUGCCAUAUUUUU